CGGGAGGGGGGCGGGGCGUGCGGCCGCGGUUGCCACGGCGACCGGAGGAGGCGGCGGUCAGGUAGGCCGCGACGCGUCGCUCCGUUGCCCUGCUCCAACCGGGUCCCGGUCCGGCUCCAGAAGUGCCGGCUGAGGUGGGGCACUGUGCGGUCCGCCGUGCUCCCUGCGGGCUCGCUCCUCCCUCCGGCUGCGUCGCCGCUGAGCCUGGUGGUGCUGCUCAGCGAUGGGCGACGUGCUGGCUUACGAAGCUGAGUUACUGGAACUAGUGAGAGAGUAUUUGAAUUUUGCUGAAUUUGAAGAAACAGUGAAGGUAUUUGAAAAGGAAUGCAAAAUAAAAGGGAAGCCGCUACCUAAACCAGCAGGUGUUUCCUUGAGAGAUUCAAAAGCCCUUCCUGUUCAGAAAGACCUGCUCCGAGCAUUUGAUAAGGGCGAGCAGAAGGCUUUCUUCCAGCUCUGGGAGGAGCACAUUUCGUCUUCAGUUCUGGACAACGAUCCUGUUGCUCAGAAACUGGAGUUCUAUCUUCACGUACACUUUGCCACCUGCCUCUUAAAAUACCCGAUGGGAAAGCAUGACAAAGCUGAACUUGAGGAAAGAAUUUCUCAUUUUAAAUCAUACUUGGAAACAAAAGGAGCUGCCCUGAGCUGCACUACGGAGUUUCUUCCCUUCUACGCUUUGCCUUUUGUUCCCAACCCCGUGAUGCAUCCUUCGUUUAAUAAACUUUUUGAGGAUUCUUGGAUGUUGGAUUUAAGGACAAGAUUGGAAAAGUUCCUGCGUCUGACUCUCAAAGCCAGCCAGACUCCCAGGCUUCUCACUUUACUUAAGGAGAACGAACAGUGCAAUAAAGAAAUGUUUCAACAUCUCUGUAAAGAGUUAAUGGAGUCAGAUCAUAGGGCCAUAACCUACCUGGAGCAGUUGAACAAAAUAGAAGCAGACUACCAUAAUCUCAUCGGAGUCGCUGCAGAGCUUGUGGAUUCCUUGGAGGCCACAGUCAAUGGCAAAAUGAUCACACCAGAAUAUCUUCAAAGAGUUUGUGUUCGCCUGUUUCGCAAUCAGAUGGGUCGAAGUGUAGCACAAAGCAUUGACUUUACAAGGCCUGGAACGGGACAUUACUCUAUGAGCCCUUGUGAUGACGGAUAUGCUUCCACAAUGUUAAGAGCAUCUUUGUUAUCUGGGGAGAAGCAGGAUGUGCCUCUGUUGCCCUCUUUGGACUACGAGAAGCUGAAGAAAGAUUUGCUUACAGGGAACGAUCGUCUCAAGGCCUUCUUACUGCAGGCUCUGCGCUGGCGCUUGACAACAUCAUGUCAUGGAGAACAGAGAGAUACUGUCCUGCAGGCUUACAUCUGUAACGAUCUCCUAGAUUGCCACAGCAAGUGUCAGAGAAGUGUCCUCGAAUUAUUACAGUCUAAGAGUGAAGUAGUCAGACAGUACAUGGCAAGGCUCAUCAGCGUUUUUGCUUCGUUGACAGAAGGUCGCUUCUACCUUUCUCAGAACCCGAUGUUGCUGCAAAUGCUGGAGGAGAGACUGAAAGCUGAGGACAAGGAUUCCCUUACAUGGGAGAAUGUUCUGGAGGCUCUGCAGAAAUUCAGCCUCAGACGUGACCUGCAGUCAGCAAUGAUCAAGGAUGGGCUCAUUUUCUGGCUGGCUGAUGUUCUGGCGGAUACAGAUAGCCUGUCUGAUUACACACUAGAAUAUUCUGUUGCCUUGUUCAUGAAUCUUUGUUUGAGGAGUGCAGGGAAGAAAAUGUGUGCAAAGAUUGCAGACCGUGUACUCAAAGUUCUCUCUGAUCUUCUUGGCCACAAGAACCAUGAGAUACAACCAUACGUGAAUGGAGCACUCUACAGCAUUCUCGCUGUCCCUUCGGUCCGAGAAGAAGCGAAAGCAAUGGGAAUGGAAGAAAUUCUACGCUGCUUUCUCAAGGAAGGAAAUGCAGAGAUGAUCCGACAGAUUGAAUUUAUUAUCAAGCAGCUCUGUUCAGAAGAGCCAUUAAAUGACAAUAUUGAGUCUGAUGAUGAAGGGGAAGAAGAGGAUGAGGAGGAGGACUGUGACAUCGUGGAAGCUGACCUGGACAAACAUGAGGUUUUACAACCUCAACUGGGAGAGCUUACAGGAGAGAAGCUGCUGACAACUGAAUACUUGGGAAUAAUGACUCAUACUCCAAAAACCAAGAAGAAGCUGUUUCCUGGUGUCCAUCAGAGUAAAGAUGAGCCUCUCCAGAGACCCGUGACGCCAGGUUAUCACAGAACUGCAUACCCAGUGGCAGAAAAUGAUACCACUUCUUGUCAUGAUAGGGAUGAGAAACCCCAGUCUCUGCUGAGUGGUUCUCCUCCUGUCUGUGCCAGGAGCAGCUCCGGCAUCGCUGACCUCUGCACUUCCUCUUCACCAAUUGAAAUGAAGCCAUCUAAAAUAUUCUCGUCAGGCCGUAAGAUGGACCGAAGCAUCAAAGCUGGUGAUAUCUUGUCUUCCCGAUCUACCGACUUCACCCAAGACAAAGUGAAUGGGCAAUCUCAUAGCGAAUUUUCUUCAGCCUUUACCAGCAAACCUAAGAUCCCUCGCACUCCUGAAAUGCACAGUGCCAGCCCCAGAAAGGGAAAGAUCCCAACCAUUGCCCCUCAGUUCUCUCAGUCUGGACCCCAGCAAAUGAGCCGUCCCAGCUCCUCGGGAUCAUCCACAAGGAGCAGACAGAGUAAGGAAAAUGAAACACAGGGAACUGAAAUACCAUAGAAAAUCAGCAAAGAGAAGGAAAGAACUUCCUGUAUCUUCUGUGCUGCUCGCUCGCUGCCAUUUUACACAGUGCAGCCAGUCCUACAGGAAGUGAGGACAGUUUCUUUCCUCGAGAAUCGCCUGUCACAUUGCUGAAGGACAGAGCCAGCUUCCUGUAAUGAGCUUUACUGGCGACCUACUGAGAAGAGGUUAUUAACACUGCCCGGCGCACGCCUUGCACGGUGAUUCGAGGAUUAUCUGAUGGGCUGCAUCUGCUGUCCUCUCCAAAGCUGGCUAAGACAAGGGCCUUGUUACAAUUCGAGGUCUCAUCAGCUGCCCACAGCUGAUACAGGAGAUGGAUAUAGUCCCAGCAUCUCCGAUAGUUUAAAGUGACAUUGCUACCUCCAGAUAAGUCUCUUGCUCUCUGCUUUCUGUGUCAGAGUAAAUGGGCUUUUGAAAUGGUGCAUAGGGCUCAGCACAGGAGUCUAGCCAACAAACUGUCUUAUCUACGUAUUGCUUGCUGAAAUAGCCUGUAACUUGCUCUGUUGUUUUUUGUCAUUAUGCUUUUGUGAAUGAGUAUGGGGAUGUCUGAGUUCAAGGGAUCAGCACUAGGAGGGAAAGUGUACCUGCAUGCAUACAGCCUCACUGCCUGGAGCAGCUCUGUGUGGAGUGAGGUCUGCGUUUGAACAUCAAAGACUUGAAAGUAUUUCAUCUUUUUGUGGCAGUUGUAAAACUGUGUGUCAGCGUUCAAUGUACUGCUCCAGCUCACCUCUGGGAAUCUGAUCAGCAGGUUUAUCUGUAGUAAUUACUCCUAUUCAAAUGUACUUUAGCUUGGAACUUGGCUGCCACUGAAGCAGUAAAGCACAGGAGGAAGCAAGUGUGUUAGUUGUAAAUGGACUUAAAAGCAAAUGUUUUUAGGUAGGUACAAGAAGGGAUAAGUUAAAGCUUCUGUGCUGGAGUUCCACCUUGAGAAACAAACAAGAUGAACUCAGCCUGAAAGGUCAAGCAACUCCAAUAAUGGCAAUUACCUCCCCAUCGAGAGCAAAGAGUUGUAAAGCCACCAAUCAUUUCCGGAAGAAAGCUUGUUUGUGAUGAGACCUCGAAUUGUUCUUCUUGGUAUGUGGUAGCAACUGAACAGCCAAGGCCGUGUCCUCUCUUGAUGUGGUUGCUGUGCGACCGGUGGUGCUGUGUCAUUGUUUCGCAGAAAGGUACCCAACACACGAGCUCCUCUCACCCCCUCCAGUAACAGACUUCAAAUUGGAAUUAGGAUCUCUUGAAGAAAAAGACCUCCUCCAGUUUGAAGUCUGAUCAUAUUGAUAUGAAACUUGAAAUGUACUGCUUGAUGACUCCACUGGUCUCACCCAAAGCAGGCAGAGUAUGGCUGUUACUUCAACACCCGGCUGCACAGGAUAUGAAGUGAUUAUAGACAGUUAAUUGCCCCUGUCCUGCAGAUCUCCAUGGUAGAUAAAUCACAGAAAAGCUCUGAUUUGUGCUUAGAUUGGCCCACCUCCUCUCAAAGUUGAUAAACACAAUUAAUGGAAGAAUGUCCUUUGGUUCCCAGAAGGCAGCAAGAGAAAGCAGCCAUAAAAACUCACCUAGUGGAUUUGCAUAGCGGGCAGCUUUUCUUUUUCCUCUGAAAAGCUGUCUUUUUUGCAGCAUGUAAUAUCAGUGGCCCAGCAGUUAACACCAAAGUGCUAUGUGUGCUCGUCUGCAUCUGUAGGUGCAUAGAGUGCCCCAGCAGCUCAGCUUCAUUUAUUUCACAGCAGUGCUGAGCAUCACAUUGGAGACAGUUUUUUGUAUUAAUGCUUGAGAAACUCCAUUUGCCAAGUACUUGAGAGGAACCGUGUGUAAGCUUCAAAAUAAAUCAUCAUCUGAGCAGCAGUUGGAGGACCUGACAAAAGGCCGUGCCCUCCUUUCCUCUGCGUUGUUCACAAAAAGCCCCUGCGGUGCCGGUCAGGAGGUCGUGAAGCUGUGAGAAGUGUUGAUGCUGCCUUUGUUAGCAGGACACCGCUGCUCGGCGUUGAGGGGUCCCAGGAUGAAGGUCAGUGACACACACGUGGCAAAUUCUGCACCUCUCUCUUCAAGGUUGCUGUGUGCCGUGCAGGGGUUGGUGCCAGAUCCAGCAGCAGCCUGGUGAGCUCCUAACGGGAGCAGUGGAGAUGGCCUGCUUGAGUGAGAGGGGUGUGAUGGCACUUAAACUGGCUGCAGCACUAUUUGCAAUAAGCAAAUGCCCUAAUUGCACAAGGCACAGGUCUGAAAGGGAUUUUUUUUUUCCUGUGACCGAAGUGCUGUGUGACGCUAGCGUGCUGUUUGCGUGUCUUCUCUACAUUCAGUGUUAAUGAGAGACUGAAUCAUAGAAUAUCCUGAGCUCGAAUGGACCCACAAGGAUAUUCAAGUUGAACUCCUGAACACAGAACCACCCAAAAAUCCAACAUUCCUUCUGAGAGCAUUGUCCAAAUGUGAACUGCGUGUGUCUAUUUACAUUUGCAUGGAGGGUUCAUUCUAGAUACACUUCAAAAUCAUCUGACAGUGACGAAGUAAAAUUGCUUCUAAAGGGAUAUAUCCAUUUUUCUCUCUGUGAUAAGGUUGUUUGGCGUUUCAUGGACGUUCAGGGUGUGCAUUUGUUUAUUUUCCACUGUUUUCUUUGUGAUAAAUUCUGUCCUCAGCA